GUGACUAACACUAACACUUUGCCAUGGAAAGUAACAUAUUGCCAAGUUUAAGUAACAAGGAUGUGGACACUUGGAGGGAAUUAAUCAUCUACUUGGACUUCCCAGGUGGCUCAGGGGUAAAGAAUCCACCUGCACUGCAGGAGACUCAGGUUCCAUCUCUGGGUUGAAAAGAAGCCCCGGAGAAAGAAAUGGCAACCCACUCCUGUACUCUUACCUGGGAAAUCCCACAGACAGAGGACCCUACAGUCCUACAGGGACCUCAUGAAGCUGUGGAUGGGACUCUGUCCGUGACGACAUUGGCAUCCCACCUCAGGAAGAUCCCACAUGCUGCAGAGCAACCAAGCCCGUGCACCACAACUACUGAAGCCUGGACUCUAGAACCUGUGUUCUGCAACAAGAGAAGCCACCUCAAUGAGAAGCCUGCCUGGCCCAACUAGAAAGUAGCCCCCACUCAAUGCGACUAGAGAAAGCCCAUAUGCAGCACCAAAGACCCAGCACAGCCAAAAAUAAAUAAAUGAAAUAUUUUUAAAAAAUUACACCAUGGGAC
ensembl:lncRNA